AGUGAACGCUGGCGGCAGGCCUAAUACAUGCAAGUCGAACGGCAGCACAGCAGAGCUUGCUCUGUGGGUGGCGAGUGGCGGACGGGUGAGGAAUACGUGGGAAUCUGCCCAGUCGUGGGGGAUAACGUAGGGAAACUUACGCUAAUACCGCAUGCGCCCUUCGGGGGAAAGCCGGGGACCUUCGGGCCUGGCGCGAUUGGAUGAGCCCACGUCGGAUUAGCUAGUUGGCGGGUAAAGGCCCACCAAGGCGACGAUCCGUAGCUGGUCUGAGAGGAUGAUCAGCAACACUGGAACUGAGACACGGUCCAGACUCCUACGGGAGGCAGCAGUAGGGAAUAUUGGACAAUGGGCGCAAGCCUGAUCCAGCCAUGCCGCGUGAGUGAAGAAGGCCCUCGGGUUGUAAAGCUCUUUUGUCCCGGAAAGAAAAGCGCCGGGUUAAUACCCUGGUGUCCUGACGGUACCGGAAGAAUAAGCACCGGCUAACUUCGUGCCAGCAGCCGCGGUAAU
rnacentral:rRNA from 1 species